UGUAACAUAUCGCUUAUCCUAUGAUUAUCGCAAAUAUUUCUAACAAGAAACAGCUCGAAAGUCAUAAUUCAUAAGGACCGUGCUCACCGAACAAUAUAAAAAUCUGAGAGUGUCCUGUUCGCAAGAGCAAAGUUAAAGGAUGCUUAAUAAAUAAAUUGAGUUAGUUCCUAACCUGUUAUUUCGAUGUUCUUACACUCCAGCUGAUACAUGAUGGGAAUGUAAUCUGCAUAAUCAAAGUUUAAGCAAUUUUAUUAUUGUGACAUUGACCAGCUGAGCACCACGGAAGAAAACUAGCAUCCAUUUCAGAAACUAGCUUGCCAGUACUUUCCCAAGUCCAUCUCCAGAGUGGCUUAUCAUUGAAUGUCGACAAUUUACAUCGGCCAUCAGUCCAGAUAUGCCACAGUUCUACAAUUAUCAAAUAGUUUUUAUGAUAUAUUAUUCAGUGAGAAAUCAAGAUAUCACUUUCAUUUAAUGCAUGCAUAAUAUUCUUUUAUAUUGUUCUUGAUAUUCGUUACCUUGCCUUUUCUAUUAUCUUCC